GAUGAACGCUGGCGGCGUGCCUAAUACAUGCAAGUCGAGCGAACAGACGAGGAGCUUGCUCCUCUGACGUUAGCGGCGGACGGGUGAGUAACACGUGGAUAACCUACCUAUAAUACUGGGAUAACUUCGGGAAACCGGAGCUAAUACCGGAUAAUAUAUUGAACCGCAUGGUUCAAUAGUGAAAGACGGUUUUGCUGUCACUUAUAGAUGGAUCCGCGCCGCAUUAGCUAGUUGGUAAGGUAACGGCUUACCAAGGCGACGAUGCGUAGCCGACCUGAGAGGGUGAUCGGCCACACUGGAACUGAGACACGGUCCAGACUCCUACGGGAGGCAGCAGUAGGGAAUCUUCCGCAAUGGGCGCAAGCCUGACGGAGCAACGCCGCGUGAGUGAUGAAGGUCUUCGGAUCGUAAAACUCUGUUAUUAGGGAAGAACAAAUGUGUAAGUAACUAUGCACGUCUUGACGGUACCUAAUCAGAAAGCAACGGCUAACUACGUG
rnacentral:rRNA from 1 species